rnacentral:snRNA from 10 species
UCAAUUGACAUCCCUAUUGGUGACUUCUAUUGCACUUGUUAGGAAGGGUGCCGAGCUAAGGUGUACCAAAGUGGUGGAGCUUAUGUCAUAAUUUGUGACAAUGGGGGCUUGCGUUCACGCGGCCCCUUC